AUUGAACGCGGGCGGCAGGCCUAACACAUGCAAGUCGAACGAGUGGCGGACGGGUGAGUAAUGUCUGGGAAACUGCCUGAUGGAGGGGGAUAACUACUGGAAACGGUAGCUAAUACCGCAUACCAUCAGAUGUGCCCAGAUGGGAUUAGCUUGUUGGUGGGGUAACGGCUCACCAAGGCGACGAUCCCUAGCUGGUCUGUGAGGAUGACCAGCCGCACUGGAACUUGGACACGGUCCAGACUCCAACGUGAGGCAGCGGUGGGGAAUAUUGCACAAUGAGCGCAAGCCUGAUGCAGCCACGCCGCGUGUCUGAAGAAGGCCUUCGGGUUGUAAAGUACUUUCAGCGGGGAGGCGUUACCCGUAGAAGGAGCACCGGCUAACUCCGUGCCAGCGGCCGCGGUAAUUC
rnacentral:rRNA from 1 species